UUACGUCAUAGCCUGCUGUACAGUGCAAUACGGCAGCAAUCAAGUAUAUAAGAAGACUAUUACUUGAAUCGGUUUACAGAAGAUGAAAAUCCUGGUUAAAGUAGUGAUAUUCUGAGAUCCUGCAUACAGUACAACAAUGCCUCCUCCCGGUGUGUGUAUGAGUAUAAUGCAGGAGCGYCACAAGAAAGAGGGAGUUGGGAGUCUUGCCAACCCAGAGAAACACAGCAACCAAGACUUCCAGCAGCUGACGCAAUACUGUUUGGCCAGGGGAGUGAGGUACAUCGAUGAGAUGUUCCCCCCAGACCAUAACUCCAUUGGUGAUGGGCUACUUUCCCCUGAUGACAUGGGCAGAGUGGUGUGGUUGAGACCAGCGAAAAUGGUACCGAUC